UUCGGAAGUUUACAGGACUGGCCUGUCAAAAGGCCUCCCUCGUGUUUACAUAUUUUGACAGGUUGAGUUGUUCGGGGACUAGGAACAAUGAUGAAGAUAUAAAUUUAUUCAAAGAAAUAAUAUGGGACAAUGAAUGCUAAAAUUGCCAAGAAGAAGACUCCAAUUUACACACCAUUUUAUACAGGUUACAGUAUGAUAUGGUGAACAAAAUGCCUCAAUGCAGCCAGUUCUAGAGCUUUGGCUAGACUAUGAACAGUA